rnacentral:rRNA from 1 species
UACGUAGGUGGCAAGCGUUGUCCGGAUUUACUGGGCGUAAAGAGCGCGCAGGCGGUCGGAUCAGUCGAAUGUGAAAGCCCCCGGCUCAACUGGGGAGGGUCAUUCGAUACUGUCCGACUCGAAGGCAGGAGAGGGAAGCGGAAUUCCCGGUGUAGUGGUGAAAUGCGUAGAUAUCGGGAGAACACCAAUGGCGAAGGCAGCUCGCUGGGACGUUACUGACGCUGAGACGCGAAAGCGUGGGGAGCAAACAGG